AAAACGUUUAACAUCACCGGAAAUUAUCUCGUCACCGCACGACAGCAUAAGUUCUCAUCGACGAGGUAUGUAUAUCUAUUCAAAAUAAUUUAUAAAUACGUAUAAAUGUGAAGACUAAGGUGAAUUUAUUUUUUGGGUUUAUGUAUUUGGGAUUGGUUUAGGUUUUUAAUAUUGUGGGGUUUUUGGUUUUAUUUUAUGCAAUGGGAUAAGUGAAUCAUUCUGGGUUUAUGUAUCUGUUUUUGUUUUUAAGAGAUUUUGGGUGUUUUUGUAAUUAAAGGUCUCAGAAAUUUGUCUAUUUGAUUAAUUUUAAAAGGAUUUUAAAUAUUGUUUCAAAUUAUUUGGAUAAUGAAAUGAAUUUGGUUUCGGAUUUUUUUUUGGUAUGUUGUCUUUGAGGGUGUAACAUUUGUUUAUUUUGAGUUUCUUUGUCCUUUCUGGAACAUGGUUUAUGUUGUAUUAUACAAUUUAGUGCUCCUAUAGAAGCACAUUUCCAUUUGUUUUGUGAAGAAAAUUUGUUGAGUUCACUGUUUAAAGAGCAAAAUGUGACAACGCAAUACUCACGAUUAAUCACGUGGAACAUUUUUUUACCUGAUUACAAGAAAUGAUUUGAGUAGGAUGUUACGGUUGGCAUUUCUUGGAAAUCUGUAAAUGGGCUUUGUAUGAUCAAAUUAUUUAGUGCAUGGGGGAUUCAGUUUGUCACUGUGAUCAUUUUCUGAACGUUGAUAAUAAAUUUAUGUUUUCUUUUCAUUGGUUUGUGGAUCAUGUCCAAAAUUGUGUGGGAUAUUUAAGGUCCUCCGCUGAACUUAUUAAAUAAUUCUACUGCUUGAGACUUGUGCUAAAAAUUCCCUAUUGAGAAACUAUCUGGCAACAUUGAGUUUUGCUCUAGGCAUAUGUUCUCUAUCUUUUGUGUGUGUAUAUAAAUUUGUUUUGUUUCUGAUUAUUAACAGCUGAACUUGUUAUUGCUGCAUAAUUUUGGUAAAAGGAACAAUUUUUUAGAGGAAAGCAUGUCUCUUAUUUAAGUUCACACAUUUUUUAUUGGAAUAUUAGACCAAGCAGUACAAGAAUUUUAUGUGCUUCUUGUUUGCCAAAUGUGCUUUUAUCCAUUUUCAAUUGAUUAAGUUGCUGUUGAGAUUUGUUCCAAGCCACCUUAGAGAGCAAGGUUUUUUGAUUACUGUAUGGAUGACUAGAAUUCUUGGAAUAACAUGCUCAACCAGAAGUUGAGGUAAUACAAUUAUAUAGUCAACUGGCAGCCAGGAUUUACUGUCUGUUGUGUUGGCAGGUUUACAUCCACCGUGUGUAAGAUAUAAAUAUUGGAUUGACCCCCCCCCCCCCCCCCCCUGCGGAUAAUACUUGAGAGUUGGAUUACACUUUUUUGGGACAGGAAUAGUUGCAAAAAUUUUACUGUGAAGGACUGACAUUGGCAGGGGAUGGGGAAAGUUUUAGUUGAAGAAAGAAAUGUUUUGAUGGCUCCGGUUGGUAGUUUCAAACAAGAAAUGAGUGGUGACUUCUGGAAGAUUGGUGACCAUAUGAAUAAUUUUUCAAUUGGAAACUUUGAGCAAUUUAAGAAUAAGGUUUCUACUUUCUAGGAUUUGAACAGAGUGCAGAAGGACCAAGUAUAGAUGUCGAGAUAUAGAAUCUUAACUUAGAGAAUUAUUUUAGACUACUUAGUAAUAGUGUUCUUGACAUCAUAAUUAGGAUAUAAAUAAAACCUUGGACUAUGGCACAUUAAAUACCGAAAGACAAAACUACCCUUGAGUCUAAUAAUAUAAUAAAUCCUAUGUAAAUAAACUCUAAAAGCUUAAUAUCUCAUUGUAAAAAGUGCAAAACUUGAUUAGCCUGUAGGACCUAUUUUCUCUUGGUAUUGUGGUUGGCAUGGUUCGUCAGAAAAAUCUCGAAUUAAUUGGAAAUCUAUAGUUUUGGCAGACUUUAUUUUUAAGGAUAGAGAGAACACUAGAAUUUUUGAGGGAGUGGCUACGGACUUUGAGCUUUUGUGGGAUUGCAUUUUGUUGAGUUUUUUGGAUGCUUGCUAGUAAAGAGUUUGGGGUUGUCCUAUAAUUUAGGGAACUGGUGUAUUGUGGUGUAGUUUUGGGUAUUUGUAAUUGUUGCUCUUAUUUAGAGAACGUUCUGUCGUCUCUUUUGUACUUUUUAUAUUUCUCGAUUAAGUUCCCAGUUACUCAUCACACUUGAGUGCUAAAACUUGUUCCAAGUACACUAAUGAAAGAAUCCCAGAUUUGCCCUUCUUUUCCUCCAUAUAUUAUGCAUCAAGGACAAGAAGAAUAACAUUGAAGGUGAUAUUGGUAUCAAUCAUCAGGAGAAGCUUUAAAGUUUUGAAUUGCAGAGACUCCUGGUGUAAUAUAUAAUAAAGUCUAAUGACUACAUACCUAUUAACUAUAUAUUAUUUUUAUUAUAUCUAGAAUUCAGAAUAAUUAAAUUAAAUUGACCCAUUAAGACCUGAGGCCCAAACUAUGGGAUGUAUACUGAUAUAUUAACAUUGUUAGAACAACUAUUAACUUUUAGAACAUAGGAAUUUCUCAACCAAAUAACUGCUACUUCUUGCUAAAUUGUAAUACUAGAAGAAAGCUGCUACAAAACGAUGUCUCAAUGAAGUCUGUACUCUUCCUUUUCCUGCUCAUGAAUUCUAUGCUAACUGUAUGCUAGAGAAAAGAUAUAUCGUUGAUCCUGGAUAUCAUAGUUGCUCUUACAUGGGUACUCUGCAGGAAUCUCGUCAUUGUUUUGCACAAGUUUUUUAGAAGCUCAAAAUACCAACCAAUUGGUCGUGCUGGUUAGGAUCAUUAUAUGACAGGAAAACAGAACUGACAAAAAGAUAGUCUGUCCAUAUUACUUACCCUAUUAUUGUUAAUACUGUCUUGGCUUUCAAACUUCCUCCAUGAGGAUUCUUCACUUUUGUGCCAAGUAGAAUUAUUAUUCAUUUGGACUCCAUAGAAUUUGUGAAUAAUUCAUGUUGACAAUUUUUUCCAAUUAAGACAAAUUUUCGUGCCUUAACAUGACUACAACUUCCCAUCCACGGUUAAAUAUAGUAUUUCUGAUGGUGUCUUGACUAUUAUCAUUUGUAGCCAUGAAAGUACGUUCGUCAGUGAAGAAAAUGUGUGAGUUUUGUCGGACGAUCAAACGACGUGGACGAGUUUAUGUAUUAUGCACUUCCAAUCCCAAACAUAAACAGCGUCAGGGCUUCUCAACAUUUGCCUAUGAAGGUCCAUUACCUCCAACGUAUGUAUCUGAGUUUCUUUCUUCAUUUCUGUUUACAAGUACAUGCAUGUGUACUUUUAAGAUUUUCAGAAAUGAAAUGUCUGUUCAUUACACCAUUGUUGAUACAAUUCGCUUAUUUUUAAACUUCUAUAUGGAAUCAUGAUCAAGUAUCCUGACAUGACUGUUUGAAAUACAUAAAUGCAGCGAAAAUAAGGAUUUAAAAACGUUUAAACCCACGUAUUUGUUCAUGAUUAGCUACUGAGGAUGUAAAUCUGUACAUAGAUGGGGAGUUCACCUCAAACAUUUUUAUCUUUUAUUUAAUUUUUCUCAUAAAACAAUCCCUGCAGCGACGGGAUUCUAACAUUAUCCAUAAUAGAAGCCAUAGGUAGCUGAAAGGUCCUCCAAUGAACUAAGGGAGAAAAAGGAGUACAAAUCUGUGGUGACUCAAACCCACUUGUUUGGAUAUGGGAAUAGUUGGUGUAAAAAAUUUUGGAAUAGUUUUGCUAUCUUUUUGUUUCCUUGGUGUUUAAAAUUUUCCAUCAUGUCUUAACUAUGUACAUAUAUGUUAUAUGAAAGGUGUGUAUGUGUGUUAACCAACCAAUUUCUCGAAAUAAACAAAUCCAAUUUAUUUAAUGUCCAAAUUGACGACUUAUUUACAGUUUACCCUAGGAAAUCUCUCAUCCAUUUAAAUUCUAAUAUCCAAUUUAUAUAACUGAUGACUAAACAAAUGGUGAUGAAUUAACAGUUUUCUGAACUUUUCCCCUAGAGGUUACACUAUAAUUUGAUCCUUCAACCAUAUGAUGUCCCAGUUGGAUAAGAUCAUGGAUUCAUGGUUAUAUCUAUGUCUUAAUUCUAGCCAAUGUAAUCAAAACUGGACCGGAACAGCUGGUUAGCCUGAAAAAGGGGAACCUAGGUUGGAAACAGGUCGGGCUGUACACUUAAAACCAUUUCAUUACAAACGGUGUCAAAACUGGUGAACCGGCCAGGUCAAUCAAGAACCUCUUGACCUGAACUUAGGGAUGGCAAUCAGGCUCGUCGGCUUGGGCAGCACGUGGCUCGGCUCGGGCCGAGCCCCAUUUUGGGGACACGGGCUUUGCCCGAGCUGGCCCGUGAGCUCGCGAGCUUUUAAAAAAAAAGAAAUUAAAUAAAUAAAUUAAAUUUGCUGCCUAGUUUAGGAGCAGGAAGAGGAGGGGGGGGGGGGGGGAGAGCCUGCCCGGCUCGGCCCGUAAAAAGCCCAAGCAAAAGCUCGGGCCGAGCCUAUUUUUGGCUCGAACCUGCAAAAAAGCUCGGCCCUUUUAACCGGGCUGAGCUCGAGCCGAAAUUAUAGGCUCGCUAGUCGGCUCGGCCCGGUUCGCUUACAUCCCUACCUGAACUUGGUUUUACCGGUUCAAGAGUUUUGAAAUUUCCUUAUCUUUUGCAAUUUGAUCUUCGUCUAUAGAUAUAUUCUUCAAGUUUCCAUUCUAACCAUGUUCCCAAAUGAAAGGAGUUAAUGUAGUCCUAUGACUCAGCCCAUCCUUGUCACCAUUACAUAUAUGUAUUUCGUAAAUGUUAUUUGUUUCCAAAUAUCUUUAUUCUUGUCAAAAAAUUCUUCGCCUGCAGCCACGAGAUUAACGUCUAAUUCAUUGAAUUUUUAGAAAGGAUGUCUUAGGGUUUUCUGCUUCCUUCAUCACCCGAUUCACCUGCCACCUCACUCUCCAUGGUUGUCCUAGUGUUAAGGGUUCACUUUUCGAGGUGAAAUAUUUGGACUUCAGUCAAGCUGCUGGUCCUUAAUGAUGUUGCAUUUUGGGUUAGGGCCCUGGCCUUUCAUUUUGACACCAUAGUCCAUACUUCCUUUUAAUAACCUAUGCAUCUCCCUAAUUAUUAAGUUGGACAAUCUUGCACUUAAAGUUAAAUAUUAAUUCACCUAUUUAUAUAUAUUAUAACAUCGGUUUGACCGUGAUUAAACCCUUUGACACUUGAUCCUUUAGCUAUCCUGGAUCAGGGUCUGGUCUGGUUUCAAAACAUUGAUUCUAGCAUAUGACUGACCCAAGUGAUAUGUGCUUUUCUAAUUUCCUCCCAACCUUCGUCAUGAGUUUCAAUGAGUAAUAAGAUAUCUUAUUUUAUGCUCACAUGCCUCAUAUGGCCAACAAUUGUCAUCACCAUAAUCCUAACAUCAUGGCUUACCAUAAGAAUCCAUACACAAGACAACGAUGAUACAUCAGGUUCAAGAUUCACAUACAUAACUAUAACAUAGGACGUGUCAUUGACAACGAUUGAAUUCUAUUGACAUGUUCUGAUACUAGCACACGCAUGAUUUUUUGACAUCUCAUGUCGAUGAUAUGAAAUUUAUGAUUUAUAUAGUGUACAUUGUAUGCUAGUUUUCCUGGAAUAUGAGUACCCUGCUGAUAAUCCAACAACUAAUAAAUGUUGAGAAUCUAAGGAAUAAAUGUUUUAUACUGUUAACAUCUUUAAAUAUGGUUAAGGUACACAUACAUCUCAAGUCAAUUUCCCUAAAUUGCCGUACUCGAUCUCAAAGAUACAUAUAGAAUUUUGCAGAAAGCCGUAUUCGUAUUCGAUGAAAGUCGUACGUACGGCUCCUUAAGACAUGCAAGUGAUGCAACUAUUAUUGUAAUUGGAAUCAUAUAACUACUAGAUGAAUAAUACAAAAAGAUAAUAUUGAUUUGUGGAAGCUUAUUCAGUUUUUAUUCAUGUUUAUUCCAAAUUUCUUGAUCCCUUCCAUGUCUUGUACCAAUCUACCUUCCUGCUUUUGCUUGCUGAUUCCCUGUUUAACAUUCAUGUACAACAAUCAAAGAACAUCUCCAAUGGUGGUGUAAAAUUGGUAUAUUCAAAACCACAAUUACAUCCUCAAUUUUAUUUUGGUGGAUCUAAAUCCAAGUUUUGCUCUAAUAGAAAUAUUUAAAUCCACUUUUUGCCUCUUGUGGAUGUUAAAAAAAAUUAAUGUAAAUUUACACCUUUUUCUGUCAGAAAAUGCAAUUUGUAUCUCCUUUGCAUCUUUCCAAUGAAGAGGUUUUCGGCCACUUUGGAGAUCUAAAUCUCUAUUUUACACUACUAUUAGAGAUGUUCUAAUGAAUCUAAAUAAGGCACAUGAAUUUUGACUACUUGAUUCUAUGGGCAGCUUGGUGUUCUCCCUAUCUUUUGCUUUUGUAAUUGGCAACAUACCAUAUUCUUUAUGAAUGAAAUGCAAGACUUCGAUUUUUUUUAAUGGUAUCAAUUUCAUUUCCUCGGUGACAAGUGGCGAGGAGGAUACAUCACUCGUGCGUAGCUUCACAGAUGGAUUGCCUGCUCUUAUCUACAAAAAGGAUGAAAUGUUACCAGUAACGCCUUGGUGGAGAAUGGGUCUAGUUCCCCGUCUGCUCAAUCCAGGCUGCAAGCAGUAGAAAAAAAUGGUAAUAGAUUGUUGAAUUUUAACAAAGCUUGAGAAAUUGAACGCAAGUUAGCUGUAUUAGCUAGACAUAUUUUUCAAAUAUUCUAUUUCAUUAUUUCAAGAACUUUGAUAAAUUGUGCCCGGUUUAUUGGAUACGGUCACGAUGGGUUUUGGCUGGAGCAAAAAAUCAACUUUCUUGGAGUGUUUGCUUACACUAUGAGGUGUUUUGUAUUCUUCUAUAUCUCGAGUAUUCAUGGAACGUGAGAAGGUUCGAUAUUUUUCAAUAUAUUACUUCUAG
rnacentral:lncRNA from 1 species